rnacentral:rRNA from 1 species
GAUGAACGCUGGCGGCGUGCCUAAUACAUGCAAGUCGAGCGAACAGACGAGGAGCUUGCUCCUCUGAUGUUAGCGGCGGACGGGUGAGUAACACGUGGAUAACCUACCUAUAAGACUGGGAUAACUUCGGGAAACCGGAGCUAAUACCGGAUAACAUGUUGAACCGCAUGGUUCAACAGUGAAAGACGGUCUUGCUGUCACUUAUAGAUGGAUCCGCGCCGCAUUAGCUAGUUGGUAAGGUAACGGCUUACCAAGGCAACGAUGCGUAGCCGACCUGAUAGGGUGAUCGGCCACACUAGAACGGAAACACGCACCAGGCGACUACGGGAGGGAGCAGUAGGGAAUCUGCCGCAAUGGGCGGAAGCCUGACGGAGCAGCGCCACGUGAGUGAAGAAGGUCUUCGGAUCGUAAAACUCUGUUAUUAGGGAAGAACAAAUGUGUAAGGAACUAUGCACGUAUUGACGGUACCUAAUCAAAAAGCCACGGCUAACUACGUG